rnacentral:rRNA from 1 species
CCUACGGGAGGCAGCAGUGGGGAAUUUUGGACAAUGGGGGCAACCCUGAUCCAGCCAUCCCGCGUGUGCGAUGAAGGCCUUCGGGUUGUAAAGCACUUUUGGCAGGGAAGAAAAGGCGCCGGCUAACACCUGGCGCUGCUGACGGUACCUGCAGAAUAAGCACCGGCUAACUACGUGCCAGCAGCCGCGGUAAU